rnacentral:rRNA from 1 species
AACGAACGCUGGCGGCAUGCCUAACACAUGCAAGUCGAACGAGACCUUCGGGUCUAGUGGCGCACGGGUGCGUAACGCGUGGGAACCUGCCCUUAGGUUCGGAAUAACUCCCCGAAAGGGGUGCUAAUACCGGAUAAUGUCUUCGGACCAAAGAUUUAUCGCCUUUGGAUGGGCCCGCGUUGGAUUAGCUAGUUGGUAGGGCAAAAGCCUACCAAGGCGACGAUCCAUAGCUGGUCUGAGAGGAUGAGCAGCCACACUGGGACUGAGACACGGCCCAGACUCCUACGGGAGGCAGCAGUGGGGAAUAUUGGACAAUGGGCGAAAGCCUGAUCCAGCAAUGCCGCGUGAGUGAUGAAGGCCUUAGGGUUGUAAAGCUCUUUUACCCGGGAUGAUAAUGACAGUACCGGGAGAAUAAGCUCCGGCUAACUCCGUG